rnacentral:rRNA from 1 species
GGACGCAGUGACAGGUGCUGCAUGGCUGUCGUCAGCUCGUGUCGUGGAUAGUUCGGUUAAGUCCGGCAACGAGCGCAACCCACAUCCCUAGUUGCCAGCAGUUCGGCUGGGCACUCUAUGGAAACUGCCCUAGAUAAGCGGGAGGAAGGUGUGGAUGACGUCAAGUCCUCAUGGCCUUACGGGUUGGGCUACACACGUGCUACAAUGGUAGUGACAAUGGGUUAAUCCCAAAAAGCUAUCUCAGUUCGGAUUGUCGUCUGCAACUCGACGGCAUGAAGUCGGAAUCGCUAGUAAUCGCGUAACAGCAUGACGCGGUGAAUACGUUCCCGGGCCUU